rnacentral:lncRNA from 1 species
GACUUCACACUUUCUCUUCCCCAAACCAAAGUUCAGAGUUUUUGAUUGUUGUUCUUUGUUGUUUGGUUGAUAUUGCUUCGAGUUUUUGUUGCUCGUCUCGCACUCUCAUCAUCUCAUAAUAAUACUUUAGAUUUUGGGGAAAAAUUAUUUCGAUCCCGAUUUGUUGUUCUGCCAUGUUUGAGUGUCGGCUUCGUUGUGAGAAUUGACCAUCACCCACUUUGUGGAUUGGGACCCAAUUCAUUGGUUUGGCAUUUUGGAUGAUUUGAAGAUUAGUUCAUGCAUGCAAUUGGGGAUGAAACUAGGGUUCUCAAAAUUCCAGACAUAUUUUAUGGAGAUUUCCUCUUGA